CCGGGGUGGAGUAACGCGUGGAUAACCUGCCUCACGCUGGGGGAUAACAGUUAGAAAUGACUGCUAAUACCGCAUAAGCGCACAGUACCGCAUGGUACAGUGUGAAAAACUACCGGUGGUGUGAGAUGGAUCCGCGUCUGAUUAGCCAGUUGGCGGGGUAACGGCCCACCAAAGCGACGAUCAGUAGCCGACCUGAGAGGGUGACCGGCCACAUUGGGACUGAGACACGGCCCAA
rnacentral:rRNA from 1 species